rnacentral:rRNA from 1 species
AGUGAACGCUGGCGGUAGGCCUAACACAUGCAAGUCGAACGGCAGCACAGUAAGAGCUUGCUCUUACGGGUGGCGAGUGGCGGACGGGUGAGGAAUAAAUCGGAAUCUACUUUUUCGUGGGGGAUAACGUAGGGAAACUUACGCUAAUACCGCAUACGACCUACGGGUGAAAGCAGGGGAUCUUCGGACCUUGCGCGAUUGAAUGAGCCGAUGUCGGAUUAGCUAGUUGGCGGGGUAAAGGCCCACCAAGGCGACGAUCCGUAGCUGGUCUGAGAGGAUGAUCAGCCACAAUGGAACUGAGACACGGUCCAGACUCCUACGGGAGGCAGCAGUGGGGAAUAUUGGACAAUGGGCGCAAGCCUGAUCCAGCCAUACCGCGUGGGUGAAGAAGGCCUUCGGGUUGUAAAGCCCUUUUGUUGGGAAAGAAAAGCAGCAGGUUAAUACCCCGCUGUUCUGACGGUACCCAAAGAAUAAGCACCGGCUAACUUCGUG